GAAAGCCUGCUUUUCUGAAUCUAGUGGCGAACGGGUGAGUAACACGUAGGUAACCUGCCCAUGUGCCCGGGAUAACUUCUGGAAACGGAUGCUAAAACCGGAUAGGUAGCAGACAAGCAUUUGACUGCUAUUAAAGUGGCCUUGGCCAUGAACAUGGAUGGACCUGCGGUGCAUUAGCUAGUUGGUGAGGUAACGGCCCACCAAGGCGACGAUGCAUAGCCGGCCUGAGAGGGCGGACGGCCACAUUGGGACUGAGACACGGCCCAAACUCCUACGGGAGGCAGCAGUAGGGAAUUUUCGUCAAUGGGGGGAACCCUGAACGAGCAAUGCCGCGUGAGUGAGGAAGGUCUUCGGAUCGUAAAGCUCUGUUGUAAGAGAAAAACGGCACUCAUAGGGAAUGAUGAGUGAGUGAUGGUAUCUUACCAGAAAGUCACGGCUAACUACGUGCCAGCAGCCGCGGUAAUACGUAGGUGGCGAGCGUUAUCCGGAAUGAUUGGGCGUAAAGGGUGCGUAGGUGGCAGAUCAAGUCUGGAGUAAAAGGUAUGGGCUCAACCCGUACUGGCUCUGGAAACUGAUCAGCUAGAGAACAGAAGAGGACGGCGGAACUCCAUGUGUAGCGGUAAAAUGCGUAGAUAUAUGGAAGAACACCGGUGGCGAAGGCGGCCGUCUGGUCUGGAUUCUGACACUGAAGCACGAAAGCGUGGGGAGCAAAUAGGAUUAGAUACCCUAGUAGUCCACGCCGUAAACGAUGAGAACUAGGUGUUGGGGG
rnacentral:rRNA from 1 species